AGUGAACGCUGGCGGUAGGCCUAACACAUGCAAGUCGAACGGCAGCACAGUAAGAGCUUGCUCUUACGGGUGGCGAGUGGCGGACGGGUGAGGAAUACAUCGGAAUCUACUUUUUCGUGGGGGAUAACGUAGGGAAACUUACGCUAAUACCGCAUACGACCUACGGGUGAAAGCAGGGGAUCUUCGGACCUUGCGCGAUUGAAUGAGCCGAUGUCGGAUUAGCUAGUUGGCGGGGUAAAGGCCCACCAAGGCGACGAUCCAUAGCUGGUCUGAGAGGAUGAUCAGCCACACUGGAACUGAGACACGGUCCAGACUCCUACGGGAGGCAGCAGUGGGGAAUAUUGGACAAUGGGCGCAAGCCUGAUCCAGCCAUACCGCGUGGGUGAAGAGGGCCUUCGGGUUGUAAAGCCCUUUUGUCGGGAAAGAAAAGCAGCAGGUUAAUACCCCGCUGUUCUGACGGUACCCAAAGAAUAAGCACCGGCUAACUUCGUG
rnacentral:rRNA from 1 species